rnacentral:rRNA from 1 species
GUGGGGAAUAUUGCGCAAUGGGGGCAACCCUGACGCAGCCAUGCCGCGUGAAUGAAGAAGGCCUUCGGGUUGUAAAGUUCUUUCGGUAUUGAGGAAGGUUGUUGUGUUAAUAGCACGACAAAUUGACGUUAAAUACAGAAGAAGCACCGGCUAACUCCGUGCCAGCAGCCGCGGUAAUACGGAGGGUGCGAGCGUUAAUCGGAAUAACUGGGCGUAAAGGGCACGCAGGCGGACUUUUAAGUGAGGUGUGAAAUCCCCGGGCUUAACCUGGGAAUUGCAUUUCAGACUGGGAGUCUAGAGUACUUUAGGGAGGGGUAGAAUUCCACGUGUAGCGGUGAAAUGCGUAGAGAUGUGGAGGAAUACCGAAGGCGAAGGCAGCCCCUUGGGAAUGUACUGACGCUCAUGUGCGAAAGCGUGGGGAGCAAACAGGAUUAGAAACCCUAGUAGUCC